AGCAAACAGGAUUAGAUACCCUGGUAGUCCACGCGUAAACGAUGUCGACCAGCCGUUGGGUGCCUAGCGCACUUUGUGGCGAAGUUAACGCGAUAAGUCGACCGCCUGGGGAGUACGGCCGCAAGGUUAAAACUCAAAUGAAUUGACGGGGGCCCGCACAAGCGGUGGAGCAUGUGGUUUAAUUCGAUGCAACGCGAAGAACCUUACCUACUCUUGACAUCCUGCGAACUUGUGAGAGAUCACUUGGUGCCUUCGGGAGCGCAGAGACAGGUGCUGCAUGGCUGUCGUCAGCUCGUGUUGUGAAAUGUUGGGUUAAGUCCCGUAACGAGCGCAACCCUUGUCCUUAUUUGCCAGCGGGUAAUGCCGGGAACUCUAAGGAGACUGCCGGUGACAAACCGGAGGAAGGUGGGGACGACGUCAAGUCAUCAUGGCCCUUACGAGUAGGGCUACACACGUGCUACAAUGGCCGGUACAAAGGGUUGCGAGCUCGCGAGAGUCAGCUAAUCCCGAAAAGCCGGUCUCAGUCCGGAUCGGAGUCUGCAACUCGACUCCGUGAAGUCGGAAUCGCUAGUAAUCGUGAAUCAGAAUGUCACGGUGAAUACGUUCCCGGGCCUUGUACACACCGCCCGU
rnacentral:rRNA from 1 species